rnacentral:rRNA from 1 species
CACGUAGGGCGCAAGCGUUGUCCGGAAUUAUUGGGCGUAAAGAGCUCGUAGGCGGUCUGUUACGUCUGCUGUGAAAACCCAGGGCUUAACCCUGGGCUUGCAGUGGAUACGGGCAGACUAGAGGCAGGUAGGGGGAGAAUGGAAUUCCCGGUGUAGCGGUGAAAUGCGCAGAUAUCUGGAGGAACACCGGUGGCGAAGGCGGCAUCCUGGACCGGUAUUGACGCUGAGGAGCGAAAGCCAGGGGAGCAAACGGG